rfam:Desulfovibrio salexigens DSM 2638, complete genome.
AAAUAAGUUAUUAAGGGCAACUGGCGGAUGCCUUGGCUCUAAGAGGCGAUGAAGGACGUGAUAGGCUGCGAUAUGCCGUGGUUAGCUGCCAAGUAAGCUUUGACCCACGGAUUUCCGAAUGGGGAAACCCAACAGAGCAACCCUCUGUUAUCCUUUGGCUGAAUACAUAGGCCUUAGGAAGCGAACCCGGUGAAGUGAAACAUCUCAGUAGCCGGAGGAGUAGAAAUCAAACGAGAUUCCCAAAGUAGCGGCGAGCGAAAUGGGAUUAGCCCAAACCGUGUGCUUUCGAGCAUGCGGGGUUGUAGGACCACAAUAUGUGAUCUGUUUAGAUAGGGGAAGCGUCUGGGAAGGCGCGUCAUAGAGAGUGAAAGCCUCGUACCCGAAGUCGGCGACAGCACUAGUGGCACCUGAGUACCACGGGACACGUGAAACCCCGUGGGAAUCUGGGAGGACCAUCUUCCAAGGCUAAAUACUACUUAGAGACCGAUAGCGAACCAGUACCGUGAGGGAAAGGUGAAAAGAACCCCUGUUAGGGGAGUGAAAUAGAACCUGAAACCAGUUGCCUACAAGCUGUGGGAGCAGACUUGUUCUGUGACCACUUGCCUUUUGCAUAAUGGGCCAGUGAGUUAAUCUGUAAUGCAAGGUUAAGCAGUGAUGUGUAGCCGUAGCGAAAGCGAGUCUGAAUAGGGCGACAAGUAUUGCGGAUUAGACCCGAAACCAGGUGAUCUAUCCAUGGGCAGGCUGAAGCUUGAGUAAAAUCAAGUGGAGGGCCGAACCGUUGUAAGUUGAAAAUUACUCGGAUGACCUGUGGAUAGGGGUGAAAGGCCAAUCAAACUUGGUGAUAGCUGGUUCUCUCCGAAAUAUAUUGAGGUAUAGCCUCAGGAGUUUUCUUGCGGAGGUAGAGCACUGACAAGGCUAGGGGUCCCACCAGAUUACCAAACCUUAUCAAACUCCGAAUGCCGUAAGAUAUAUCCUGGGAGUCAGACUGCGGGUGCGAAGGUCCGUAGUCGAAAGGGAAACAGCCCAGACCGUCAGCUAAGGUCCCCAAAUCCAUACUCAGUGGAAAAGGUGGUGGAGUUGUAUAGACAGCCAGGAGGUUGGCUUAGAAGCAGCCAUCCUUUAAAGAAAGCGUAAUAGCUCACUGGUCUAACGAUUCUGCGCCGAAAAUGUAACGGGGCUAAGUAUGGUACCGAAGCUACGGGAUGCGUCUUUGACGCAUCGGUAGGAGAGCGUUCUCAGAUGGGAUGAAGGUGAAUCGGAAGGUUUGCUGGACUAAUGAGAAGUGAUUAUGCUGGCAUGAGUAACGAUAAAACAAGUGAGAAACUUGUUCGCCGUAAGACUAAGGUUUCCUGGGUAAAGCUAAUCUUCCCAGGGUUAGUCGGUCCCUAAGGCGAGGCCGAAAGGCGUAGUCGAUGGAAAACGGGUUAAUAUUCCCGUACCAGCAAAUGUGUGCGAUGGAGGGACGCAGUAGGAUAGCUCAGCCGGCUGUUGGAUAUGCCGGUGUAAGUGCGUAGGCUUAAGGAAUAGGCAAAUCCGUUCCUUUUUAAGGCCGAGACACGAUGCCGUAACUUUACGUUUGAAGUGAGUAAUUCCAGACUGCCUAGAAAAUCUUCUAAGUUUAGCAUUUGUUGACCGUACCGCAAACCAACACAGGUAGUCGGGUCGAGUAGACCAAGGCGCUUGAGAGAACUCUGGUUAAGGAACUCGGCAAAAUGAUCCCGUAAGUUAGCGAGAAGGGAUGCUCCAGACGGUGACUUGAUUCACUUAAUGAGCUGUUUGGAGCCGCAGAGAAUCGGGGGGGGGCGACUGUUUACUAAAAACAUAGGUCUCUGCUAAGUCGUAAGACGAUGUAUAGGGACUGACGCCUGCCCGGUGCUGGAAGGUUAAAAGGAGGUGUUAGACUUCGGUCGAAGCUCCGAAUUGAAGCCCCAGUAAACGGCGGCCGUAACUAUAACGGUCCUAAGGUAGCGAAAUUCCUUGUCGGGUAAGUUCCGACCUGCACGAAUGGCGUAACGAUCUCCCCACUGUCUCAACCAGAGACUCAGUGAAAUUGAAUUACCGGUGAAAAUGCCGGUUACCCGCGGUAAGACGGAAAGACCCUGUGCACCUUUACUAUAGCUUGACAUUGGGUUUAGGGCUAUCAUGUGUAGGAUAGGUGGGAGGCUUUGAAGUCGGCACGCCAGUGUCGGUGGAGCCAACCUUGAAAUACCACCCUUGAUAGUCUUGAAUUCUAAUCCAAUGCCGUUAUCCGGCUUGGAGACAGUGUCUGGUGGGUAGUUUGACUGGGGCGGUCGCCUCCCAAAAAGUAACGGAGGCUUGCAAAGGUUCCCUCAGGCUGAUUGGAAACCAGCCGUCGAGUGCAAAGGCAUAAGGGAGCUUGACUGUAAGACAGACAUGUCGAGCAGGAACGAAAGUUGGUCUUAGUGAUCCGGUGGUUCCGCAUGGAAGGGCCAUCGCUCAUAGGAUAAAAGGUACGCCGGGGAUAACAGGCUGAUCGCGCCCAAGAGUUCACAUCGACGGCGCGGUUUGGCACCUCGAUGUCGGCUCAUCACAUCCUGGGGCUGAAGCAGGUCCCAAGGGUUCGGCUGUUCGCCGAUUAAAGUGGUACGCGAGCUGGGUUUAAAACGUCGUGAGACAGUUUGGUCCCUAUCUACCGUGGGCGUAGGAUAAUUGAAGAGGGUCUGUCCCUAGUACGAGAGGACCGGGGUGGACGAACCUAUGGUGUUCCUGUUGUCGCGCCAGCGGCAUUGCAGGGUAGCUAAGUUCGGAAGGGAUAACCGCUGAAAGCAUCUAAGCGGGAAGCCUGCCUCAAGAUUAGUUAUCCCUAUGCUUUAGCAUCUAAAGAUUCCAGGUAGACCACCUGGUUGAUAGGCUGGAGGUGUAAGUGCAGUGAUGCAUUCAGCUGACCAGUACUAAUAAAUCGUGCGACUUAUUUUU